rnacentral:rRNA from 1 species
AACGAACGCUGGCGGCAGGCCUAACACAUGCAAGUCGAGCGGACCCUUCGGGGUUAGCGGCGGACGGGUGAGUAACGCGUGGGAAUAUGCCCUUCUCUACGGAAUAGUCCUGGGAAACUGGGGGUAAUACCGUAUACGCCCUUUGGGGGAAAGAUUUAUCGGGGAAGGAUUAGCCCGCGUUGGAUUAGGUAGUUGGUGGGGUAAUGGCCUACCAAGCCGACGAUCCAUAGCUGGUUUGAGAGGAUGAUCAGCCACACUGGGACUGAGACACGGCCCAGACUCCUACGGGAGGCAGCAGUGGGGAAUCUUAGACAGUGGGGGCAACCCUGAUCUAGCCAUGCCGCGUGAGUGAUGAAGGCCUUAGGGUUGUAAAGCUCUUUCAGCUGGGAAGAUAAUGACGGUACCAGCAGAAGAAGCCCCGGCUAACUCCGUG